rnacentral:ribozyme from 1 species
AGAAUUAAAUCAAGACAAACCACAACAAGUACCUCGGGAGGUAAGCAAGAAAAUAAAACAAACAAGCACACACGUUUCCGUCACUUCACCCACUUCACUCACUCAUUCUUUUCUUAUUCUUUUUUCCCUUUUUUUU